rnacentral:tRNA from 1 species
GCAUUGGUGGUCCAGUGGGAGAAUGCUCGCCUGCCACACAAGCGACCCAGGUUCGAUUCCCGACCAAUGCA